rnacentral:lncRNA from 1 species
ACGGUGCGGGCUUCCGGCGGAAGCGCUGGAAGCAAGAUGGCGGCCGCCGAGAGGGUUCACAAAGGGUUAGGAAUUUUAGACCCAGUUCUGCUACUGACUUUCUGUGUGGACACAAACUCACUGAGCCUUCAGUUCUUCAAAUCAUUUUUUUUUUCUUUUUUUUUUUUUUUUUUGAGAUGGAGUCUCACUCUGUCACCCAGGCUGGAGUGCAGUGGAGCGAUCUUGGCUCACUGCAACCUCUGCCUUCUGGGUUCAAGCGAUUCUCCUGCCUCAGCCUCCCAAGUAGCUGGGACUACAGGUGCCUGCCACCACCCCCAACUAAUUUUUUUGUAUUUUUAGUAGAGACGGGGUUUCACUAUGUUGGCCAGGCUGGUCUUGAACUCCUGACCUCGUGAUCCGCCUGCCUUGGCCUCCCAAAGUGCUGGGAUUACAGAUGUAAGCUGCUGUGCCAGCUUUUUUUUUUUUUUUAGAGACGGGGUCUUGCUCUGUCAUCCAGGCUGGAUUGCAGUGUCAUUGAUCAUAGCUCAAGCGGUCUUCCUGCCUCAGCCUCCCAAAGUGCUGUGAUUACAGGUGUGAGCCACUGCACCUGGCCUCUUCAUAUCUUACAACGAAAAGCACCAAGGAUUCUCUUUUGUUGAAUUUGAGUUGGCAGAGGAUGUUGCAGCAGCUGUCAACAACAUGUUUGGUCAGAUGAAGACUGGGUGGAGAAGUUUGCUGGGAAGAGGAUAAAGAGGAAGGUGGUUGAGACUUCCCAAAGCAGAAAGCCAGGAGGUAAGAAUGACAGUUCAUGCUUCCAUAGGAGAGGCUGCUGCUUUCCACAUAGGGAAUUUCUGAGGUGAGUGGUGUUGGGUGAAUUUAAAGGAGAAGUUUUGGCUUUCUUAUCUAGGUGAGAAAUAUCUUAUGUGGGCUCAGGUAUUUGUGAUUGCUGCUGAGCAAGGCGGAUAUCUGAGGUGAGAAAGGAUGGUGAGUACUCUGCAUCACCAGCAUCCGCUAUCCUCCUAGUCUUUGGCAGCAGGCUCACUGUCUUCCUGUUCUUGCCCUAAUUCCAAGGGGGCAGAAUCAUGUAGAGGUCCCUUCCCCUCAGUCAGUACACAGGCACAAGGCUCUCCCUGCCCUCUCCACUUGCUCCUGCUUCUCCAUCAGGCCAUCCUGACUGUUGCUUCCCAGGAUAAUUUAAGGGCUCCUCCUCCUCAGUCCACCCUUUGAGCAGUGAUAUUUCCCUGAAUUCCUUCCUUAGCCCUCAGCACCUCUCUCCACAUUAUCCUUAUGCCAUGUCAGCCCCUUCUAUCUCCUAAGGUUAUAACGAUCUUUCAUUGUCCGAAUGAUAUUCUGAUCUCUAUCCCUAGCCCUGACCUUUCACAUAUUUCUGUUUGGGUGUCUUAUAGGCACCAUAAAUAAAGCAUAUCCCAAAUGGGUUUCAUCACCUUUCUGGUCUUUUUUUAUGCCCAAUCUUAGUUCACUUUGCCAUCUUCAACAUAGUCACACCCAAACCAGAUUCCUUGGUGCCAGCUUAGAUCCCUCACUGUAUUUCAUACCUAAUGCAUUACCAUACCCUGCUAAUUUUAUCUUUUAAAUCUUGCGUUUCUCCUCUCCAGUUUUCUUCUGCCACUGUUGUCUUGGCUGAGGCCUUAUCCUCUCUCCUGUGAAUAAUUGGAGUAGCUUCCUAACUGGUCUCCCUGCCCCAGGCCUGUUUUCCUCCUAUCCUUAGCAGCCAGAGGGAGCUUUCUAAAGGGCAGAUCUGACUAUCUCACUCUCCUUAAGCAUUCUAGGGACUCCCUUGAUUUAUAGGAUUGAGUCCAGCCUCCAUCAAAAGGGACAGAAGACCUCUCUAUGUUCUGAUUCCUGCUUAUGUCUCCAUAUUUUAUCUCCAUUUUAUAUUCUAGGAAACAAGAGUUUGUAGAUACCUGUAAAUCUCUGUUUUGAUGUAAGUCAUUCCUCUGCCUGCAGUGUCCUUUUCCAAUUUAUUUUAUGUGGCUAAUGCCUGCUCAUUUCUCAUAGCGCAGCCCAUUUACUGCCUUCUCCAGGAAGCUUUUCUGAAUCCUCCAGUGAGUAAGGGAGAGCCCACUGCUAAAAAAGGCCUAGUCAAAUCCUCAGGUGUACAUGGACAUCAAGAUUGGGAACAAGCCGGCUGGCUGCAUCCAAACCCUCCUGCGUUCCGACGUCGUGCCCAUGACCACAGAGAAUUUUCUCUACAUGUGCACCCAUUUAAAGGACUCGGCUUCAAGGGAAGCAGCUUCCACCGCAUUAUCCCCCAGUUCAUUUGCCAGGGCAGUGAUUUCACAAACCACGGUGGCACCAGGGGUCUGCGCAGGCAUGGCACUAAGUGUCCCAUGGCACAUUUGGCCCUCAUGGAGGCCUCAAAAGGGCAGGACCAGCACCCUCUUCUACGGAGGAAGGAACGGGCACAGCAGAAACAAGGAGAGUCAGCAAUUACCAGCCAGCCAAGGUCCUGGAAGCUGACGUAGAGCUCGUGCCGACGGCAGACCUGCCGGCCGUGGGAGCCGCGGACGUCAUCUGCAGGGACAGAAGGGGCAAGGUCUUUUCUGGGGUUCCUGCUGUGUGCAGCUACUAUGGGGUACCAGGGUGGGGGAUGCCCUGAUGAGCACAUUUGUCAAAUAAAUGAAUGACAGGAAACCA